rnacentral:rRNA from 1 species
UACGUAGGGUGCAAGCGUUAAUCGGAAUUACUGGGCGUAAAGCGCGUGUAGGCGGUUCGGUAAGUCUGCUGUGAAAGUCGGGGGCUCAACCCCGGGAGGCGGGCGGAUACUGUCGGGCUAGAGUCCGGAAGAGGCGAGUGGAAUUCCUGGUGUAGCGGUGAAAUGCGCAGAUAUCAGGAGGAACACCGAUGGCGAAGGCAGCUCGCUGGGACGGUACUGGCGCUGAGGCACGAAAGCGUGGGGAGCAAACAGG